rnacentral:rRNA from 1 species
CGCGUAGGCGGUCAGGUAAGUCGGGUGUGAAAUUCCGGGCUCAACCCCGCGAACUGCAUCCGAUACUGCUUGACUUGAGAGAGGUAGGGCGAGUGGAAUUCCCGGUGUAGCGGAGGAAUGCGUAGAUAUCGGGAAGAACACCGGUGGCGAAGGCGGCUCGCUGGACCUUUUCUGACGCUGAAGCGCGAAAGCGUGGGGAGCAAACA